UCACAAGUGGCUCCAGUCUGGUUUGGGGGUCUACCCUUGCUCACCCUGUCCUGCCACCCAAGUAAAAAGAGAAAUAACUACAGGCCUCUGUAACUGCUGUUUCCAGGUCAUUGUCACAAGUCACAAGUGGCUCCGGUCUGGUUUGGGGGUCUACCCUAGCUCAUCCUGUCCUGCCACCCACACAAAAAGAGAAAUAACUACAGGCCUCUGCAACUGCUGUCUCUAGGAGCGGUACGCAAGUGUCCAGUGACAGCCCAGGCAACGGAUACCGACAUUCACCAAUGUGCUGGCGCAUGACCGAGAAGGGGGGACGUCGCAAACGCCAGUGUGAAGGAGCAAGCUAGAUUCAUUGAUGAUCAUCAU